GAAUUCACUAGUGAUUCAGGCCUAACACAUGCAAGUCGAGCGGUUGAGAGUAGCUUGCUACUUGAUGCAGCGAAGAACGGGUGAGUAACGCGUGGGAAUCUGCCCAGUAGUGGGGGACAACAGCCGGAAACGGCUGCUAAUACCGCAUACGCCCUACGGGGGAAAGGGGGGGAUCUUCGGACCUCUCGCUAUUGGAUGAGCCCGCGUCGGAUUAGCUAGUUGGUAGGGUAAAGGCCUACCAAGGCUACGAUCCGUAACUGGUCUGAGAGGAUGAUCAGUCACACUGGAUCUGAGGGACGGUCCAGACUCCUACGGGAGGCAGCAGUGGGGAAUAUUGGACAAUGGGGGAAACCCUGAUCCAUCCAAGAGGCGUGUGUGAAGAAGGCCUUAGGGUUGU
rnacentral:rRNA from 1 species